AGAGUUUGAUCCUGGCUCAGAAUGAACGCUGGCGGCGUGCCUAACACAUGCAAGUCGCACGAGAAUUCUUCUGCUUGCAGAAGAUAGUAAAGUGGCGCAUGGGUGAGUAAUGCGUGGGCAAUCUUCCCUUGAAUCGGGGAUAACAUCGCGAAAGCUUUGCUAAUACCGGAUGACAUCCAUUUGUCUGCGGGCGAAUGGAUCAAAGGUGGCCUCUACAUGUAAGCUACUGUUUGAGGAUGAGCCUGCGUACCAUCAGCUGGUUGGUGGGGUAACGGCCUACCAAGGCGACGACGGGUAGCCGGCCUGAGAGGGUGAACGGCCACACUGGAACUGAGAUACGGUCCAGACUCCUACGGGAGGCAGCAGUGGGGAAUAUUGGGCAAUGGGGGCAACCCUGACCCAGCGACGCCGCGUGGGGGAAGACGGCCUUCGGGUUGUAAACCUCUUUUGUACGGGAAGAAGGAAGUGACGGUACUGUACGAAUAAGUCCCGGCUAACUACGUGCCAGCAGCCGCGGUAAUACGUAGGGGACGAGCGUUGUCCGGAAUUACUGGGCGUAAAGGGCGCGCAGGCUGUGCUGCAAGUCAGCUGUUAAAUGUCUGGGCUUAACCCGGGCAUGCGGUUGAGACUGCGGUGCUGGAGUGCUGUAGAGGCAAGUGGAAUUCCCAGUGUAGCGGUGAAAUGCGUAGAUAUUGGGAAGAACACCGGUGGCGAAAGCGACUUGCUGGGCAGCAACUGACGCUGAGGCGCGAAAGCCAGGGGAGCAAACGGGAUUAGAUACCCCGGUAGUCCUGCCGUAAACGAUGAAUGCUAGUGUGGGUGUAGAGAUACAGUGCCGGAGUUAACGCGAUAGCAUUCCGCCUGGGGAGUACGGUCGCAGAUUGAAACUCAAAGGAAUUGACGGGGCCCGCACAGCGGUGGAGCACGUGGUUUAAUUCGAUGCAACCGANAACCUUACCUGGGUUU
rnacentral:rRNA from 1 species